AUACAGAUAGGCCUACUACAGAAGUGAGUGACUGAGUAACUUCAUCAAGGUCACACUGAAGAGGAAGGAAUUCCUCACCAGGAAUAUUAUAACCAUGCAGAAAGGCAUCCUAGGAGACCCGACACUCCUGACCUUCAUAUCCCUUGCCUGGAGCACUGCAGGACAACACAACAAUGGUUCAGCUAAUGUGCCAGGUCUAACUGGUGGUGAAGUGACUGGCAUUUGUUUUGGGAUUUUUUUUCUUUUCACUCUGACAACUGCGAUUGUAGUUGCCAUAUACAAUAGUUAUUUUAAAUAAAAAAAAAUAAAAAUAAAAAAUAUUCCGCAUUGCAGGCUAACAUUUUCAGGGUUAUGAAAUUGCAUCUGCAUUGUGAUGUCAAUCUGGAAAGUAAAGUAAGUUAAACAAAUAAUGAUAAUAAUAAUACAAAAAAAUAUAUAAUAUUAUUUAAUAUUCAAUUCACUCUACUUAUCUCUUACUAUUUUCGGUAUAAAGCGUAAUGUGGGCGUGUGGGGGUAAAGAGGUCAGGAUCUGAGGGAUGAGGAUCUGUUUUUCUCAAGAUGUUCCUUUCUUUUAUUGUAUUGCAUUCAUCAUUCUGUAAAGAGGUUUGCCUCUGCAAUUCUGAGUGGGAGGCACCAUUUUAUGCAGGUUAUGGGUGAUGUUGUGACCCUUGUUUUUAAGUAGCCAAUGACUUGUAAGAGGAGUUCUUCUGCAUCAAAACAGCAGUUUCUUCCGUAAGUCAAGGCUUUCUCUUCUCUCUUCUCUUCUUUGUCUCAUCCUCACACUCGCCUGACCACCUGCAAGUGCCGUCCAUGAAGCCGUCACAGCCAAUGUGGCGAC